rnacentral:tRNA from 2 species
GCCCACGUAGCACAGAGGCAGUGCACUUCCUUGGUAAGGAAGGGGUCCCGAGUUCGAUUCUCGGCGUGGGCU